CUCCAGCAGAAACGUGCCGCUCCGCGGGGUGGGAGACGUGGGCUCGGCAGCGAGAGCCACGUGGCCGUGACGUGCAGGUAUUUUACGUGCUGGCCACAGGUACCAAGGGAGAGGCGCUCAGGAUCGCGAGGGAGAUGGCUCCACUCCCACAGCCGAUGUCCAGAACCCGGUAGGGCCCUCCCUGCUCUCCGGCGGCCACCAGCGAUGAGCCCAGCACGGCACUCACCAGCUCCUGUUCAAGGAAACCUGCCAAUCGACUCGCUGCGGAGUACCCAUCACUACUGCUGGGUCGACCAGAGGCAGAGAAAUUUAAGAAAAAUUCGGCCCAUUGCUUCAACUGCCACGCCAGGAGAUUGAAGUACUGUGACGUCUGGAUUGCAAGUCCAAUGUCCUAACAGGUACGCCAUACAUGAGACAACAGAUCCAAAGACACACAGGGCUGUACGUGCGUAUUUAUUGUCGUACAUUAUUGCAUAAGAGGCAAACAGAUAACUGUGUUUUUAACGAUUUUUAAAAUGUGAUUACGUGUAAUGAAGGAUAACGGUUUUAACAACCCCAAUUAAAACCCAGGAUCUCAGCGGUGUCAUCCUAGUCCCCUGAUCUCUGUGUGUGGAAAACUGAAAGGCUUAUUUAUAUAAAAUGUAAUUUCCCCCCCAAUUGUAUCUGGAUUGAGACACGAAAAAUCCAUUUCGGAUUCUCGCAGAACGGUGCACACACCCUGCGCUACUUAUCAGCUCACGAAAGGGGAUAUCACAGAGCGGCUUCUGAAAUAUCUUUCAAGGGCCACAGCUCUUCCCCCACCCACCCUGGCUACAGGGAUAAAUGUUCAUCACAUGAGUCAAAAUUAUAUAUAUCUUUUUUUAUUCACAGCAAAAAAACUGGAAUUGAGCCAAGCCAAGUGCGAAACUCAAAAGAUCGAAUGUUGAAUUUUGAUUUAAAGCUUUCGUGACUGCAAGGAUUCUAUUCUUGGUU